rnacentral:rRNA from 1 species
GAGUUUGAUCCUGGCUCAGGAUGAACGCUAGCGGCAGGCUUAAUACAUGCAAGUCGAGGGGCAGCAGCUUUAUAGCAAUAUAGAGGCUGGCGACCGGCAAACGGGUGCGGAACACGUACACAACCUUCCUUGAAUAGGGGGAUAGCCCAUAGAAAUGUGGAUUAAUACCCCGUAAUAUAGCGGUGUGGCAUCACACUGUUAUUAUAGUUUCGGCGAUUCGAGAUGGGUGUGCGGCUGAUUAGGUAGUUGGCGGGGUAAAGGCCCACCAAGCCUUCGAUCAGUAGCUGAUGUGAGAGCAUGAUCAGCCACACGGGCACUGAGACACGGGCCCGACUCCUACGGGAGGCAGCAGUAAGGAAUAUUGGUCAAUGGACGCAAGUCUGAACCAGCCAUGCCGCGUGAAGGAUGAAGGUCCUCUGGAUUGUAAACUUCUUUUAUAGGGGGCGAAAAAAGGUCUUUCUAGAUCACUGACAGUACCGUA